rnacentral:rRNA from 1 species
UACAGAGGGUGCAAGCGUUAUUCGGAAUUACUGGGCGUAAAGCGCAUGUAGGCUGUCUGAUAAGUUCGGUGUGAAAUCCCUGGGUUCAACUCAGGAAGUGCACCGAAUACUGUCAGGCUUGAGUAUGGGAGGGGAGAGUGGAAUUCCUGGUGUAGAGGUGAAAUUCGUAGAUAUCAGGAGGAACAACAGUGGCGAAGGCGACUCUCUGGACCAUUACUGACGCUGAGAUGCGAAAGCGUGGGGAGCAAACAGG